UUUAUUCGGUUAAAUAUUAAGUUUUAGAUUGAUGUUAGAACAAGUAACAUGAUAACUAGUAAAAAAAAUAGUAUUUAUAUCAAAAUACAUCAUCUUUAAGUGUCAUAUUUGAAUUUUAACUGUUUUUUGUUUAGCUGGGCUACUGCUAGCUAGAACUCUGCAAAGUACCAGUUACUUUCCUAAUAUUCAUUUAGCAUAAUCUGGCUAUUGGCAGACUGUAAUGAAUAUUACUUAAUAUAUGUCACAGUUUUUAUUAAAUGCCUUUUAUUUAUUUUUUAAUUAAACUGCCAAAGCCUUAGGGUCAGUGGUCUCAAACUCCAGGCCCAGAGGCCACUUGCGGCCCACGUCACCCCUUCUUGCGGCCUGUAUAUUGAGGUGAAGAAGUAUAAUGCAAUUUGGCCCUUGAAGUGACUUUUUUUUUGGUCAUUAACCAAAAAUGAUUUAAUAUGAAGGCAAUAAGGGCAGAGUGUUACAGGCCCUCAUGGGCAGUGUAGUCCGUGCUGUAGGGAGAACGUUGUGUGUUUGAGCGCGAGAGAGGGAGAAAGUAGGAGCUGUUACCGAGGAGAAAUGGAAGAAGAAAGCAUGUAAAUAUAAUAAUAACCACUGCCGCCAAAAGGAGUGCCUGGUUGUAAGAAAGCUGUUAAGACUCGACUGUACACUGUGUUCGCUGACAGUAAAGCUACAAGCCCGACAAUCCGACGUAUUAGCCAGAGGUCUCUUUACCACGGUUCAGAGCCGCGGACCUGGCCGAGGUAACAAGAGAGUACAAGCAUGUGGAGGGAUUGGCUUUGUUAGUUCAGUGAGAGUCAAAAACUAAUGUGUACACUUAUUUCUGCAUUUUUAUUUUGUUAAAUAUGAACAAAAUUACAGCAGAAGUGCUGCAAAGUGUCUGACCAGAAAGAGAGGACCAUUGUGUUCAUUUGGUAGUUCAAUUAAAGGCAUCGGUUAGUUAAGAGUAAGAGGGGGGAAAAUGCGUUCAUAUUUGCAGUUUUGUCUUGUUAUACAAUAUUUGAAAUUUAAAAACAAACAAACCAAACGCUACAUUGUCAGGAAUAUUUGUGGGUGUUUUCUUUGUGGUUUCUGUUUUUUUUACUUCUUGAACACUGAAGUGGCCCUCCAAUGAGAUGACAGCUCAUUUAAGUUUGAGACCCUGCCUUAGGUGAACUAGGAUGCUUAAGGGUAACCUGAGAGUAUUUUUACACUAUAAUGGCCCCUACAUCUUGUAAAUUAUGGGAAUUUCAUUAUAGUGCGCAUUUCUGUAGCCAGUAGGGUAUUUUUCUUUUUUUUAGAUUAAAAUUUUUUCAUGGUAAAUUAAGCAUUUUCUAGUCUAAAAAUGAAUAACAGGGUUAUAUUAGGGUUUGUUAGAGAGUGGUGAGGGUUUUUAUGGCUUAAAAUAUAUAAUAAAAUAGAAAUAUGGUUUCUACUGACCCCUGCGAUAAUUGAGAGAAUACUGUAUUGCAGUCAUGUUACACAGCUUGUACUACUUAAAGAUGGACCAAGGAUGUUUUUUCUUAACAAAAUGAAUUUUAGCUCAGUCUAAAGGGACUAGACAUGCUAGAUAUUUUGCAAAGAAAUGGUGUUAUAUGCUUGACCUUAUUCUACUCUUGGAAGGUGGUGAUAUGCUGGUUCCUGACAAGAGAUGAAGAAAUCAAAGUCAGCUUUUCAAGACAGCCCCAAGACUCCUCGCAACCUGUGUUCAAAUGUGAGGCUGUUGUCAGGUGAUGAAUGCAAGGAAGAGGCACUCAACUGACAUGAAACAUGUCAAAGACAACAUGGAGGUGACAUUUCAACAUAGGCAAAAAGUGGUUCAAGAACCUGCCACAGCUUCUACUGUCCUGGACCUUUUCCCAAGAUUUCUGUAUACACCUGGCUUGGUUGACCAAGACUUCACAAUGCUGUUUGUUGGGGAGGAAGUGUCUGCUAAGUUCCUUGCAAAGUGGCCAACCAAGCCAAGGAUCAUCAAAGAUUGCAAAAAUCUGUUUUAGAGUACAGAAUUGGAUGAGCUGCUCAUUUCUGCACAGCGUUACUCUGACGAGGGUGUUUGGGACUGCGAGGCGGCUGCCAGCUUUUGCUGCUUCACUUGUACCUCCAACAUCUAAGGGAGGGAAGUCUUCAAAGAUUAGCACAUCAGAUGCUGCUCACCACCUAAUGAAAUUCAUCAAGGUGGGAGGUAGCACAGCGGCUUUUCUUAAGGCUGGCCUCUCAGCCAUUCGUCCUGUGUGUUGGAGAAAGAAAGAACAUCAUCCAGAGUUUCUACAUUAUCCUAGAUCAAAAGGUCAUUCCCUGUGUGACACAGAUGGGAGUUGCAGGUUUUGACAAGGCAAAACUUUUCAAGGCACAUUUUUUAUUUGCCGUGUCCUUUGACAAGGCAUUGAACAACUUCUACACAUUCAUCCAGACCACCGUGUAUGGCAUUGAUGUUGGCAGUGUGAAGGAGAGUCCUCGGGUCAGGGAAACAAGAGGAAGUCUUCAUUGUACAGUUUAAAGAUAUCCACUAUUCAGCACUUUGACUGGAAAUGUUCAUCUCUUACAUUUGCAAGAUACACCACACAAGUUGCUCAGUGUUAUUUAGACAUUUGAAGUUCCAGCAUGGUUUGUACCCAGGAAGGUUUUUACGUUUGACCUGUGGAGAGCCUGGAUGUUCAUUUAUCUUUCGCACGUACUCUGAUUACAAGCGGCACUUACUCCGAGCACAUGGAGACUGUCUUCACUCUGAGGUCAUCAAUAAUUUUGAGCCUGUACCUAACGAUGGAACCUCUGUUUCACAGCCUGUAAAUGUGGCUCAUCCCAUGACAAUUACUACACAGGUUCCAGUUGAAAAAAGGCAAAUACUGAACAUGUGCAGCUCUGUUAUUGCUCAGGUACAAUCAUCAGGAGUUCCUGAAAGUACUGUGCAGUGUUUAGUUGUUUCAUUGGAGGAACUGGUUAAUGACAUCCAUGCACAUGCAAAACAAUCUGUUGUUGACUGUUUGUCAACUGAUACCAUGAUACAGAUAUCAAGUUGGGAUGUAUGUUUGUUCUGGUGUUGAAAAUGAGAUGCCUUUGUUCAGUAAGAUUGUCAAUAUAAUUGUUAGAUUGCAAUGCUUAUCUUCUAACUUGUAAGGCUUCAACAGUAUAUUUCAAUGAUCACUUAAAUGCAUUUGUUAUUGAGGAUGGAUUAGAUGUCUUUGCACUGAUCUCUGUAGAUGAUCUGGUGUACUAUAGACCUUAUGAUAGGCAAUUUUCAAAUGGCACUGAUGACAAAAUGUACAUUGUCCCAUACUGUAAUUUUGUAUAACUUGUUUAUUUGUGGUGUAUCAGAAUACAAAGUAUUUUGGAACGUUAA